CCUCUCUGAGCUGUGGCUCCAUCAGCGGAGAGAGGAGCUGCCAUGCCAGGGCCCGGAUGCCCAUAGUCCCCAGCCUCCAGGUGACUAGGUCACGCCAACAGAGGCGUCUUUCAGCUAGCUUAUUUACACGUGCUGCAAACAUCGAGGUGAUCGUUCUUGAAAUUGACAAGACUACACAAAGCAUGAAACCUGAAGGCUGAAGUGCUACCACCAAACAGGUCAGGACUGAAUAACUAUGAGGAUCCCCCAUGGAGUUGUAACACUGACCCUCUCCUUUGCUGCUGCUCCAUCCUCUCCACACAGCCCGCUCGCCUCUGCAGGUGGAAGCCCACAGUGGGGGUACUUUUUUCGGGCAUUCCUCUGGUACACAACAGGAAGGAGGCACAGCCAAAUUGUAAAGACUGGUAUCCCCUCCCGACGGGCAGGUUUGACCUUUGACCUCGUGUACUUGACCCGGCUGCUUGGGAACGACUUUUGUGGAAGUCAGACAUGCUGAGGCCCUCUUGUGCAGCCAGCCUUGACCAACUUCAAUUUGAGCAGGAAGAAGACAUGACAGCAAAAGUGCAAUGAGGUCCAAGAUGUUAUUGCUUUGCCUGGAAUGUUCCAAGCAGCCCCCUGGAGACCGAGGAUAAUAGACAGCUAACAGGGAUCGGCAGAAUGGGCCUUUCACUGGCCGGCUAUUGUCUACGCGCCAAUACACCCUCACCCCUGCAUUUGGCAACAACGGAGACCCCGAUCAAUCCCCUCAGCUGACCCCCUCC